GAUGAAGAACGUAGCGAAAUGCGAUACUUGGUGUGAAUUGCAGAAUCCCGUGAACCAUCGAGUCUUUGAACGCAAGUUACGCCCGAAGCCACUAGGCCGAGGGCACGCCUGCCUGGGCGUCACACGCCGUUGCCCCCCCAUCUACUCCUUCGGGAUUGCGGGGGGGCGGAUGAUGGCCUCCCGUGCGCCUAGCCGCGCGGUUGGCAUAAAUACCAAGUCCUCGGCGACGCACGCCACGACAAUCGGUGGUUGCGAAACCUCGGUUGCCCGUCGUGUGCGUUCGUCGCGCAUCGAGGGCUCGAAAAAAUGCUCGGCUCCGGCUGGGCUUUCAACGCGACCCCAGGUCAGGCGGGGUUACCCGCUGAAUUUAAGCAUAUCAAUAAGCGGAGGA
rnacentral:misc_RNA from 1 species